rnacentral:rRNA from 1 species
CCUACGGGUGGCACCAGUGGGGAAUUUUGGACAAUGGGCGAAAGCCUGAUCCAGCAAUGCCGCGUGUGUGAAGAAGGCCUUCGGGUUGUAAAGCACUUUUGUCCGGAAAGAAAUCCUUGGCUCUAAUACAGUCGGGGGAUGACGGUACCGGAAGAAUAAGCACCGGCUAACUACGUGCCAGCAGCCGCGGUAAUACGUAGGGUGCAAGCGUUAAUCGGAAUUACUGGGCGUAAAGCGUGCGCAGGCGGUUUGCUAAGACCGAUGUGAAAUCCCCGGGCUCAACCUGGGAACUGCAUUGGUGACUGGCAGGCUAGAGUAUGGCAGAGGGGGGUAGAAUUCCACGUGUAGCAGUGAAAUGCGUAGAGAUGUGGAGGAAUACCGAUGGCGAAGGCAGCCCCCUGGGCCAAUACUGACGCUCAUGCACGAAAGCGUGGGGAGCAAACAGGAUUAGAUACCCUAGUAGUC